CCUACGGGAGGCAGCAGUGGGGAAUAUUGGACAAUGGGGGGAACCCUGAUCCAGCCAUGCCGCGUGUGUGAAGAAGGCCCUCGGGUUGUAAAGCACUUUCAGUGAGGAAGAACGCCUGGUGGUUAAUACCCAUCAGGAAAGACAUCACUCACAGAAGAAGCACCGGCUAACUCCGUGCCAGCAGCCGCGGUAAUACGGAGGGUGCGAGCGUUAAUCGGAAUUACUGGGCGUAAAGCGCGCGUAGGUGGCUUGAUAAGCCGGUUGUGAAAGCCCCGGGCGCAACCUGGGAACGGCAUCCGGAACUGUCAAGCUAGAGUGCCGGAGAGGAAGGUAGAAUUCCCGGUGUAGCGGUGAAAUGCGUAGAGAUCGGGAGGAAUACCAGUGGCGAAGGCGGCCUUCUGGACUGACACUGACACUGAGGUGCGAAAGCGUGGGUAGCAAACAGGAUUAGAUACCCUGGUAGUC
rnacentral:rRNA from 1 species